AUGGCAAGACAAGUAGAUACUUUUGACGAUGAUGAUCCAUUGGAAGAUGACUUUGAGAAAGGGACUGGGCCCAAGCGGUUUCGCUAUAGCGAUCUUGCCGCCGCCACCAGCAACUUCUCUGACGGCAAGAAGCUGGGUGAAGGUGGUUUCGGUUCGAUUUACAAAGGAUUCUUGAAGGAGCUUAAAGUUGAGGUGGCUAUAAAAAGAGUGUCCAAGACCUCCAAGCAAUGGAGGAAGGAGUACAUCUCAGAAGUGAAGAUCAUUAGCCGGUUGAGAGACCGAAACCUAGUACAACUCAUUGGUUGGUGCCAUGGCGACGGCGAACUCUUGCUUGUCUACGAUCUUAUGCCCCAUGGAAGCCUAGAUACUCACCUUUACAGUUCAAACACCAUAUUAUCGUGGCCACUCAGGUAUGAGAUCAUGCUGGGUUUAGGGUCCGCGCUUUUGUACCUGCAUCAAGAUUGGGAGCAAUGUGUUCUGCACCGUGACAUCAAGCAAGCAACAUCAUGUCUGGCAGGAACAGUGGGCUACAUGGACCCUGAGUGCAUGGUCACUGGAAGGACCAGCACAGAGUCCGAUGUCUACAGCUUCGGCGGCGUCAUGCUUGAGAUCGCCAGUGGCAAGCGGUCCACAGUUGCUCGGGGACGAGAGGAUGUCAUUCAUCUAGUGCAAUGGGUCUGGAAUUCAUGGGGAAGUGGAAGGACCCUUGAGCUGGCCGAUGCACAGCUCAACCUGGAGUUCAAUGACCAGGAGAUGGAGUGCGUGAUGGUGGUCGGGCUCUGGUGCGCGCACCCUGACCGGAGCUUGAGGCCGUCCAUCAAGCAAGCGGUCAGCGUGCUAUGCUUUGAGGCACCUCUGCCAAGCCUUCCGGCAAAGAUGCCCGUCACGACAUUCACGACAGCAAUUGAUUCUUCAUUACUUUGAGGACGAUGUAGUUACAUAUACCGAGUUGCCUACGCGUUGCGCGCCUCAAUUGACUGUGGAUCGAUGGCAGCUGCCCCACGGCGCCUUCUCGUGCUUCUCCUCGCCGUUGUCUUGUCCUCCUCUUACGUCGACGUCGCUGUAGCACAGGGAGUGUCACAUUGGUUCUGCUCGACCACGGGCGACUACGGAGUGUACAGCCGGUACCGGCUAAAUCUUUUGGCCCUCAUGGCCGACCUCCCGGCGCGUGCCCUCGACAACCGUUUCUACUACAACGGCACGGCCGGCGAAUCACCGGACAAGGUGUUCGGCCUCGUCUUGUGCUAUGCCGACCGCAACUGGACCAAGUGCCACGACUGCCUCUACACCGCGGCCUCCGUGAUACAGCAGUCGUGCCCGUUCAGCCGGCAGAUGAAGGGCGCCUACGACUCAUGCCUUCUCCGCUACUCCAACGAGUCCUUCGUCUCCGUCGCCGACCUCGACUUCGCCAUCUACGUGGAGGACCCGUCCAGCAUGAACAGGACCUACGUGGACGACCCGUCCAGCAUGAACAGCACGAGGUGGGAUCUGCUCACCCGGCUAGCGGCGGAGGCGGCGCGUUCGCCGCUGCGGCUCGCGAACGGGAGCGUGCCGUACGCGGCCAGUUCGCACUCGCCGACGACCAUGCACGGCCUGGCGCAGUGCACGAAGGACCUGAACGCGAGCGAGUGCGGCAGGUGCCUUACCAAGUUCGUGGCAAAGCUCUCCGGUAUGUUCCCUAACAACACCUAUGCUGGCAUCAAGGGCUACAGCUGCUACGCCGUAUACAGCAUCGGCGACGCCGAGUUUCUCCAAGUUCCGCCACUUGCCGCCGACAGGAUUAGCAGCAGGACGCCGCUGGUGGCCGGCGUGUCUGCCGGUGUCGUCGUUGUAUUCAUCUCAUCGAGUCUCUUGGUUUGUUUCCUUUUACGCUGUCGGAAGAGAAAUCGCAUGGCGAGACAAGUAGAUACUUUCGAAGAUGAUCCCAUGGAGGAUGACUUCGAGAAAGGGACCGGACCCAAGCGGUUUUGUUAUAGCGAUCUUGCCGUUGCCACCAGCAACUUCUCUGACGAGAAGAAGCUAGGUGAAGGUGGUUUCGGUUCCGUGUACAAAGGAUUCUUGAAGGAGCUUAAGGUUGAUGUGGCUAUAAAACGAGUGUCCAAGACCUCCAAGCAGGGCAGGAAGGAGUACAUCUCAGAGGUGAAGAUCAUAAGCCGGCUGAGACAUCGAAACCUCGUGCAACUCAUUGGCCGGUGCCAUGGCGGCGGCGAACUCUUGCUUGUCUACGAUCUUAUGCCCCACGGCAGCCUAGACAGUCAUCUUUACAGUUCAAACACCAUAUUAUCGUGGCCACUCAGGUAUGAUAUUGUGCUGGGGUUAGGGUCUGCACUUCUGUACCUACACCAGGACUGGGAGCAAUGUGUUCUGCACCGUGACAUCAAGCCAAGCAACAUCAUGUUAGACGCGUCGUUCUGCGCCAAACUUGGUGAUUUUGGGCUAGCGCAGCUUGUCGACCACGACCGAGGACCAUACACGACUGGUAUUGCAAGAACAAUGGGCUACAUGGACCCUGAGUGCAUGGUCACGGGAAGGACAAGCGCUGAGUCUGAUGUCUACAGCUUCGGCGUAGUCAUGCUCGAGAUCGCCUGUGGCAAGCGGCCCGCUGUUGCUCGGGGACGAGAAGACAUCAUUCAUCUGGUGCAAUGGGUCUGGGAUUCAUGGGAAAGCGAAGGACCCUUGCCGCGGCCGAUGCGCAGCUCAACCUGGAGUUAG
rnacentral:rRNA from 1 species